AACAUCACAGACGUGAACAGGACUGAAUUAAGACACUGGAAUAGUGUUUAACUUUGAAAGCAGAUAGAAGGGGGGGAUUUAUACAUUCAUCUCAUAUCUUUACACUUGGACAAAAAGAAAACCAUGAUGGGUGUCACACACAUUGUAUCAGUGUUGCUGAUUCUAACAGCUACAAUGACACCAGCUGCAACACAAACAAUUACAACUGCUGCACCUACAACAGCUGCAGCAACAACGGCUGCACCUACA